rnacentral:rRNA from 1 species
CGCUGGCGGCGUGCCUAAUACAUGCAAGUCGAACGGUCUUUCUAUGGAAGCUUGCUUCCACUGAGAAGAUAGUGGCGAACGGGUGAGUAACACGUGGGUAACCUGCCCAUAAGAGGGGGAUAACAUCCGGAAACGGGUGCUAAUACCGCAUAGUUUUCUUGAUCGCAUGAUUGAGAAAGGAAAGAUGGCCUUUGUGCUGUCGCUUAUGGAUGGACCCGCGGCGUAUUAGUUAGUUGGUGAGGUAACGGCUCACCAAGACGAUGAUACGUAGCCGACCUGAGAGGGUGAUCGGCCACAUUGGGACUGAGACACGGCCCAAACUCCUACGGGAGGCAGCAGUAGGGAAUCUUCCGCAAUGGACGAAAGUCUGACGGAGCAACGCCGCGUGAGUGAAGAAAAGGUUUUCGGAUCGUAAAACUCUGUUGUCAGAGAAGAACAAGUUGGAGAGUAACUGCUCCAGCCUUGACGGUAUCUGACCAGAAAGCCACGGCUAACUACGUGCCAGCAGCGGC